rnacentral:lncRNA from 1 species
CCAUAGCAAGAACAAAGGAAGAAAAGAAAGAACAAAAACCCUAGAGUGAAAAUUCAAGAGAAAAUUGAUGGAUUUCAAGUAAUCAAGCCAUCAAAGGUAAAAUUUCUUGAUUUUGACUUGUGAUCUACCUUUCCCAUACAUUCUUUUGCAUUUUCCAUGGUUGAAUCACAUGAUUUCAUGAUGGGUAUCUUGCUGGCCGAACACUUAGAGAGAGGUUUUGAUGCUUGAUUUGGUUAGAUUUCAAUGUAUUUUAGUGUUUUUAGUUAGUUAGUGAUGUGUAGCAUGAAAAGCCAACAAGAAAAAUUCACUUCCUCCCAUCACCCAUCAUUGGCCGAAUUUUCCAUGUAGAGUGUGGAUGGUGGAUUUGAUUUUAUUUCAAGCGAAUUGGUUAGGAAAUGAUGAAUUACGGUGAGAAAAUCAAGUUGGAAAAAUCAUAGUGUUGAUGCACCCACCAUGGCCGAAAUUCCCAAGAGAAAAUGUGAAGAUGAUUUUGCUAAAUUUUAUGCUAUUUGACUUGUGUUUGAUGGUUUGGAGAAUUGGAAGAAAAAUGGAGUUAAUUGGAGUUGAAUUGGACAUAUUGGCCAAUUAAUCGAGUGAUAGAUCGAAUUAGGCCAAUACCGUUUUAUUUAGGUACACAAUUGAAUUUGUGUAGAACACCGUGUUUAGACGAUAAUCCGAACAAUUUGCAUUCCAUUUCAUGCAUCCGUAUAGUUUUAUAACAGUUUAGCACCAAUGUGGUAAAUUGUUUAAUUGUGCAUUAUGUCUAGGUGGUGAAUCCUCCGAUAAGGGCAAAGAAAUUGUACCCGAUGAUCAAUAGUCGGAGUACUCUAAAAAUUCGACUCCCGAAAUAGUGAGUAACCUUAUCAUCAUUUUAAUUAUCUAAAGUGGUCUUUUUAUUCGAUUUUGUGAAUUUUAUGGAAAAUGAGUUUAAAUGGUUAAUUUUUAGGUUUUAUAAACAAAAUGUGUUUAAAUGAAAUGAUUUUAUAAAUUGUCUUGAAAUUGAAUGAUGGCUUUGAAAAUAGAGUAAUUGGAGACCAUUUGAUGUAUUGUGAAUUUAUGGUUCUAAUUGAUUGGCUUAUGGCAAUAUUGGCAUGAAUGGCUGAAUUGGUAUUUGUGUUGAAAAUGUAUAAACUGUUGUUUGCCUUGAUAGGCUGGAUAAUGAUAAAAUUGCCAUGUCAUGCUGUUGAAUUUUAUUGAAUUGGUGGGUUAUUGAUUAGUCGCUGCAGUGGACGGGUUCCGUGGACCAGCUAUUAGAGGGGGCACGGUAACCCUAUUAUAUUCAUACCUUAGUAUGAGAGGCGCGGAUGGAUAACUCCUGAGGUUAACACUUUAGAGUUCACUUCAUGCCAAACCACCACGUGAGGGUGAACUCAGCCAACGCCAAGGAACGGCUAUGUUUUCAAAAUAAAAACAUGAUUUAUGCGUACAUAACUUUUUAACAGCCUUGGCGGACUCGGUUGGGAUAGCCCUCGGCCAAGGUAUCCCUGAUAACUGAGUAUGAGAAUGAUUUUGGCACGAGCCAAAGUUUUAAGAAAUUCAUAAGCCAUGUUGAUUACUCGAUUUAUAUGAAUUGAUUUUAUUUGGUUGAAAUGAGUUGAAAGGUGAUGAAUUACAGUAUGUUAAACUAUUUUAUCUGUCUCCAUUUACUCAGCUUUAGAUAUUUUAGAUGGUAUUUGUUUACUCACUGGGAUUAUAUAAUCUCACCACCCUCCUUUCCACCCAUUUCAGGCUCAGGAUAGUCGGUAGAUAGCUCAUUUCGUUGAGGGCUACAGUUGGACUUGCAUCCUCAAAAAUUGUAGGUUUACCGCUUUUGAUACUUUUGGUCGUUCGUGGGCCCACGUGUCACUGUAAAUUAAAUUUUAUACUUUGGUUAUCUGUAUUACAGUAUGUAUGAAUUUAUUUAGCUUUUACGCUACAAAAAUUAUUUACCGGUAACUCUAUAAAUAUUGUUUUAUAAGAAAAUAGAAUAUUUUAUUGAAUAUUUUUAUUAUAUUCAAAUAGUUAUAGUUUCACUUUAAAUGAAUGUUUUAGAUAUCUAAACUUAUUUUUGAUUAUGAAAUAUGUGUUUUCCACUCGCAUACUACAUUUUUAGCUGGUUUCGAGAUUUUUGAGAAAAAUGACCAAAAUGCCCCUGUGAGAAAAAAAUUAUUUUUCUAUUGUUUUGAUUUGGAAAUAGUUUAUAAUCUCUCAAAACAUGAUACUUAACAAUUGUUGCUCACAGGGGAGGUGCGAAAACUAAUAUUAAAGCCUUGCGAGGUUCCGGUUAGUAUUCCAAGCAAUGAAUGUCUAUCGAGACGUCGCGGCGGUUGUCACGGGCUCGAGGGGAGUAUCGGGUUGAGACAACUGAAGCGUUCAUUUUUCAAAUUAUUUGUUAUGUAUGGGUUCAUCAUUACCAAGUGAUUAAUCAUUUAAGGGUUUGAUUAGGGGUUUCUAAUAUGAAUGAAAUUAAAUUGCAUUGUUUUAAAAACAAGUGCAUCAUGAUUUUAAAUUCUUCCCUAUUGUUGCUUGUUCCCUUCCUUGUUCACUCACUGGGUUUAUACUCACUGUUUUCAACUUCAUGUUUUCAAAUCAUGAGGCAGCUAGUAACUAGGACGAGGUGUCCUUGUAGACUUGUAUCCAUCUUUUGGUAGGUGUCUCGGCAUUCAGUAGUUGUACAUUCAUCCGAGUCUCUCCGCUGGAAGUCGAGUAUUCUUUUGUUGUGUAUAGACAAACCUAAUGUAGAUUAUUAAGAUACAUGUUGUGGACAAUGUAUAUAUACUUGUUUGGUAUGCCAUAUGAGGUGGAAAUGUUUAAUUUUGUUUUGAUCCUAAGUUAUGAAAUGUAACUUAGCAGUUU